UACGGAGGGUGCGAACGUUAAUCGGAAUCACUGGGCGUAAAGGGUGCGUAGGCGGGUUUUUAAGUCAGGGGUGAAAUCCUGGAGCUCAACUCCAGAACUGCCUUUGAUACUGAAGAUCUUGAGUUCGGGAGAGGUGAGUGGAACUGCGAGUGUAGAGGUGAAAUUCGUAGAUAUUCGCAAGAACACCAGUGGCGAAGGCGGCUCACUGGCCCGAUACUGACGCUGAGGCACGAAAGCGUGGGGAGCAAACAGG
rnacentral:rRNA from 1 species